rnacentral:rRNA from 1 species
CAGUCGAACGAGAUUAAGGAGCUUGCUCCUUAUGAAAGUGGCGCACGGGUGCGUAACGGGUAUGUAACUUACCUUUAUUUGGGGGAUAGCCCCGAGAAAUCGGGAUUAAUACCGCAUAACAUUGCAGAGUGGCAUCACUCAGCAAUUAAAGCUUUGGCGAAUAAAGAUAGACAUGCUUGACAUUAGCUAGUUGGUAAGGUAACGGCUUACCAAGGCUACGAUGUCUAGGGGGUCUGAGAGGAUGUCCCCCCACACUGGUACUGAGACACGGACCAGACUCCUACGGGAGGCAGCAGUAGGGAAUAUUGGGCAAUGGACGAAAGUCUGACCCAGCCAUGCCGCGUGUAGGAUGAAGGUCCUAUGGGUUGUAAACUACUUUUGUACGGGAAGAAACCUUCGUUCGUGAACGAAGCUGACGGUACCGUAAGAAUAAGGAUCGGCUAACUCCGUGCCAGCAGCCGCGGUAAUACGGAGGAUCCAAGCGUUGUCCGGAUUUAUUGGGUUUAAAGGGUGCGUAGGCGGGCUUUUAAGUCAGUGGUGAAAGUUUGUAGCUUAACUAUAAAAGAGCCAUUGAAACUGAAAGUCUUGAGUAUGGUUGAGGUGGAUAGAAUGUAUCAUGUAGCGGUGAAAUGCUUAGAUAUGAUACAGAAUACCAAUUGCGAAGGCAGUUCACUAAACCAUUACUGACGCUGAGGCACGAAAGCAUGGGGAUCAAACAGGAUUAGAUACCCUGGUAGUCCAUGCUGUAAACGUUGAAUACUCGAUGUUGGCGGAUAUACUGUCAGCGUCUAAGCGAAAGCGUUAAGUAUUCCACCUGGGAAGUACGACCGCAAGGUUGAAACUCAAGGAAUUGACGGGGGCCCGCACAAGCGGGAGAGCAUGUGGUUUAAUUCGAUGAUACGCGAGAAACCUUUACCUGGGCUUGAAUGUGA